CCCGGUGUUGACAGCGAGGAGGCCACACCCGUUCCCAUCCCGAACACGGAAGUUAAGCUCUUCAGCGCCGAUGGUACUGCACGGGAGGCUGUGCGGGAGAGUAGGUGAAUGCCGGGA
rnacentral:rRNA from 1 species